CAGAGGGUGCAAACGUUGUUCGGAAUCACUGGGCGUAAAGCGCGUGUAGGCGGCCGCGUAAGUCGGGCGUGAAAUCCCACAGCUCAACUGUGGAAGUGCACUCGAAACUGCGUGGCUAGAGUCCUGGAGAGGAAGGUGGAAUACUUGGUGUAGAGGUGAAACUCGUAGAUAUCAAGUGGAACACCGGUGGCGAAGGCGGUCUUCUGGACAGUGACUGACGCUGAGACGCGAAAGCGUGGGGAGCAAACAGGAUUAGAUACCCUGGUAGUCCACGCCGUAAACGAUGAGUGCUAGGUGUCACGGGCUUUGACCCUCGUGGUGCCGUAGCUAACGCGCUAAGCACUCCGCCUGGGGAGUACGGCCGCAAGGCUA
rnacentral:rRNA from 1 species